UACGUAGGGUGCGAGCGUUGUCCGGAAUUAUUGGGCGUAAAGGGCUCGUAGGCGGUUUGUCGCGUCGGGAGUGAAAACCUUGGGCUUAACUCAGGGCUUGCUUUCGAUACGGGCAGACUAGAGGUAUGCAGGGGAGAACGGAAUUCCUGGUGUAGCGGUGAAAUGCGCAGAUAUUGGGAGGAAUGCCGAAAGCGAAAGCAGCUAACUAUAAUUAUCCUGACAGUGAGAGACGAAAGCAUGGGUAGCAAACGGG
rnacentral:rRNA from 1 species